UUUCCGCGAUCAUCACCUAAAAUAAAUGUUUGUACACCUUGUGCCUGCCAUUUUGCAAUAUCUUCAUCUUCACGUGGUAAUGCACAAAAAUG
rnacentral:sRNA from 1 species